CCUACGGGAGGCAGCAGUAGGGAAUCUUCCACAAUGGGCGAAAGCCUGAUGGAGCAACGCCGCGUGGGUGAAGAAGGUCCUCGGAUCGUUAAACCCUUUUGUUAGAGAAGAAAGUGCGUGAGCGUAUCUGUUCACGCUUCGACGGUAUCUAACCAGACAGCCACGGCUAACUACGUGCCAGCAGCUGCGGUAAUACGUAGGUGGCAAGCGUUAUCCGGUUUUAUUUGGCGUAAAGGGAACGCAGGCGGUCUGUUAAGUCUGAUGUGAAAGCCGUCGGCUUAACCGGAGUAGUGCAGUUGAAACUGGGAGACUUGAGUGCAGAAGAGGCGAGUGGAACUCGAUGUGUAGCGGUGAAAUGCAUAGAUA
rnacentral:rRNA from 1 species